rnacentral:rRNA from 1 species
CCCAAGGUAAGGAAUAACGUCGAAGAAUCGGCGCUAAUACCUCAUAAUGCAGCGGAUCCGCAUGGAUAUGUUGUUAAAGGUUUACCGCCUUGGGAUAGGCUUGCGUCUGAUUAGCUAGUUGGUGUGGUAACGGCACACCAAGGCUACGAUCAGUAACUGGUCUGAGAGGAUGAUCAGUCACACUGGAACUGAGACACGGUCCAGACUCCUACGGGAGGCAGCAGUGAGGAAUAUUGGGCAAAUGCUCGAAAGAGUGACCCAGCAACGCCGCGUGGAGGAUGAAGGUAUUCUAUAUCGUAAACUCCUGUGAGAGCAGACGAAAGACAGAUUAUUAAUCUGGAUGACUGUAUGCUCAGAGGAAGCCCCGGCUAACUACUUG